rnacentral:rRNA from 1 species
AUUGAACGCUGGCGGCAGGCCUAACACAUGCAAGUCGAGCGAGCGGCGGACGGGUGAGUAAUGUAUGGGGACUGCCCGAUAGAGGGGGAUAACUACUGGAAACGGUAGCUAAUACCGCAUACUAUCGGAUAACCCAUAUGGGAUUAGCUAGUAGGUGAGGUAAUGGCUCACCUAGGCGACGAUCCCUAGCUGGUCUGAGAGGAUGAUCAGCAACACGGGGACUGAUACACGGCCCAGACUCCCAGGAAGGAAGCAGUGGGGAAGAUUGAACAAGGGGCGCAAGCCUGAUGCAGCCAGGCGGCGUGUAUGAAGAAGGCCCUAGGGUUGUAAAGUACUUGCAUUCGGGAGGCGUGACCGACAGAAGAAGCACCGGCUAACUCCGUGCCAGCCGCCGCGGUAAUUC